rnacentral:rRNA from 1 species
CGGGGUGAGUAACGCGUGGGUAACCUGCCCUGUACAGGGGGAUAACAGUCAGAAAUGACUGCUAAUACCGCAUAAGACCACAGCACCGCAUGGUGCAGGGGUAAAAACUCCGGUGGUACAGGAUGGACCCGCGUCUGAUUAGCUGGUUGGUGAGGUAACGGCUCACCAAGGCGACGAUCAGUAGCCGGCUUGAGAGAGUGAACGGCCACAUUGGGACUGAGACACGGCCCAA